rnacentral:lncRNA from 1 species
GUGUUAUUCUUUUAGUAAAUAUUUUAUAUUUUAUAUUUUUGUUGUUAAAAAAAGAUAAGAAUAAAGAAGUAUGAAAAUAAGAGAAAAUCAUGCCAAAAUUUUGUGAUUUUGGUAUAAUUUGAUCAUAUGUGAUAGAUCUUUGAAAGAUCUACAUGAUGACACUAAAAUCGUUAAUUUUUAUUAAUUAUAUAUUUUUAAAUAUUUAUAUAUAUUUAUUCAUAAAAAAAUAUUAAAAAAAUAAAUUUUAAAAAAUAAAAAAUCAGAGUUUCAGAAUCAUG